CCCAAUGAUGGACCCCUAAGCUGAAGUGUCGGAAAACAGCCCACCCUCCCGACCGGCAGGGUCCGCAGAGGGAGGGGCGUGGCCCAGAGCCCUGGAGCAGACUGGCGGAUCCCGAGGCCUCUUCCCAAAGAUCCCCGAAUCUAGCGCAAAGACGUCGGAUGAUCCUCAAGCCUGAGGCCCUGGGCUCGAAUGACACCCCACGGGGGAGCUUUAGGGCCCUCCUUGGUCAAAGGGCGAGAUCCUCCUUGCUUGGAGCCACCUCUUCUCCAUCUUUGAAGCUCAAAUGUGAAUAACGUCAUUCCUUUUGCGCCCACUAGGUAAAAGCCUAUGUACCCCCUUGCAAAAUCUCAUUUUUCUAUUAUUUAAAUAAAAAUUAGAAGCCUUGAAAGUCA